GGUAAAAAAAAGGUAAGCUACUAAGAGCGAAUGGUGGAUGCCUUGACUGGUAAAGGCGAUGAAGGACGUACUAGACUGCGAUAAGCUACGGGGAGCUGUCAAGAAGCUUUGAUCCGUAGAUUUCCGAAUGGGGCAACCCAAUGUAUAGAGAUAUACAUUACCUAUAUAGGAGCGAACGAGGGGAAUUGAAACAUCUUAGUACCCUCAGGAAAAGAAAUCAAUAGAGAUUGCGUCAGUAGCGGCGAGCGAAAGCGCAAGAGGGCAAACCCAGUGCUUGCACUGGGGGUUGUAGGACUGCAAUGUGCAAGAGCUGAGUUUAGCAGAACAUUCUGGAAAGUAUAGCCAUAGAGGGUGAUAGUCCCGUAUGCGAAAAACAAAGCUUAGCUAGCAGUAUCCUGAGUAGGGCGGGACACGAGAAAUCCUGUCUGAAUCCGGGUCGACCACGAUCCAACCCUAAAUACUAAUACCAGAUCGAUAGUGCACAAGUACCGUGAGGGAAAGGUGAAAAGAACUGAGGUGAUCAGAGUGAAAUAGAACCUGAAACCAUUUGCUUACAAUCAUUCAGAGCCCUAUGUAGCAAUACAGGGUGAUGGACUGCCUUUUGCAUAAUGAGCCUGCGAGUUGUGGUGUCUGGCAAGGUUAAGCAAACGCGAAGCCGUAGCGAAAGCGAGUCUGAAUAGGGCGCUUAGUCAGAUGCUGCAGACCCGAAACGAAGUGAUCUAUCCAUGAGCAAGUUGAAGCUAGUGUAAGAACUAGUGGAGGACUGAACCCAUAGGCGUUGAAAAGCCCCGGGAUGACUUGUGGAUAGGGGUGAAAGGCCAAUCAAACUUCGUGAUAGCUGGUUCUCUCCGAAAUAUAUUUAGGUAUAGCGUUGUGUCGUAAUAUAAGGGGGUAGAGCACUGAAUGGGCUAGGGCAUACACCAAUGUACCAAACCCUAUCAAACUCCGAAUACCUUAUAUGUAAUCACAGCAGUCAGGCGGCGAGUGAUAAAAUCCGUCGUCAAGAGGGAAACAACCCAGACUACCAGCUAAGGUCCCUAAAUCUUACUUAAGUGGAAAACGAUGUGAAGUUACUUAAACAACCAGGAGGUUGGCUUAGAAGCAGCCAUCCUUUAAAGAAAGCGUAAUAGCUCACUGGUCUAGUGAUUUUGCGCGGAAAAUAUAACGGGGCUAAAGUAAGUACCGAAGCUGUAGACUUAGUUUAC
rnacentral:rRNA from 1 species